GUGCUCACUUUGGCAGCACAUAUUCUAAAAUAGAAACCAUACAGAGAAGAUUAGCAUGGCCCCAAUGAAAGGAUGACAUGGCCCCGUGUAACAUUCAUAUUUUU
rnacentral:snRNA from 1 species